CCUACGGGAGGCAGCAGUGAGGAAUAUUGGUCAAUGGACGAGAGUCUGAACCAGCCAAGUAGCGUGAAUGAUGACUGCCCUAUGGGUUGUAAACUUCGUUUAUAUGGGAAUAAAAUGUUCCACGUGUGGGAUUUUGUAUGGACCAUAUGAAUAAGGAUCGGCUAACUCUGAGCCAGCAGCCGCGGUAAUACGGAGGAUCCGAGCGUUAUCCGGAUUUAUUGGGUGUAAAGGGAGCGUAGGUGGAUUGUUAAGUCAGUUGUGAAAGUUUGCGGCUCAACCGUAAAAUUGCAGUUGAAACUGGCAGUCUUGAGUACAGUAGGGGUAGGCGGAAUUCGUGGUGUAGCGGUGAAAUGCUUAGAUAUCACGAAGAACUCCGAUUGCGAAGGCAGUUCACUGGACUGCAACUGACACUGAGGCUCGAAAGUGUGGGUAUCAAACAGGAUUAGAUACCCCGGUAGUC
rnacentral:rRNA from 1 species